rnacentral:rRNA from 1 species
GACAGAGGGGGCAAGCGUUGCUCGGAAUUACUGGGCGUAAAGGGUGCGUAGGCGGGUCUUAAGUCAGGGGUGAAAUCCUGGAGCUCAACUCCAGAACUGCCUUUGAUACUGAAGAUCUUGAGUUCGGGAGAGGUGAGUGGAACUGCGAGUGUAGAGGUGAAAUUCGUAGAUAUUCGCAAGAACACCAGUGGCGAAGGCGGCUCACUGGCCCGAUACUGACGCUGAGGCACGAAAGCGUGGGGAGCGAACGAGGA